AGAGUUUGAUCCUGGCUCAGAUUGAACGCUGGCGGCAUGCUUUACACAUGCAAGUCGAACGGUAACGCGGGGGCAACUCUGGCGACGAGUGGCGAACGGGUGAGUAAUACAUCGGAACAUGUCCUGGAGUGGGGGAUAGCUCGGCGAAAGCCGGAUUAAUACCGCAUACGCUCUGAGGAGGAAAGCGGGGGACCGUAAGGCCUCGCGCUGCAGGAGUGGCCGAUGUCGGAUUAGCUAGUUGGUGAGGUAAAGGCUCACCAAGGCGACGAUCCGUAGCUGGUCUGAGAGGAUGAUCAGCCACACUGGGACUGAGACACGGCCCAGACUCCUACGGGAGGCAGCAGUGGGGAAUUUUGGACAAUGGGGGCAACCCUGAUCCAGCCAUGCCGCGUGAGUGAAGAAGGCCUUCGGGUUGUAAAGCUCUUUCGGACGGGACGAAAUGGUUACGGUGAAUAACUGUGACUGAUGACGGUACCGUAAUAAGAAGCACCGGCUAACUACGUGCCAGCAGCCGCGGUAAUACGUAGGGUGCGAGCGUUAAUCGGAAUUACUGGGCGUAAAGCGUGCGCAGGCGGUUCGCCAAGUCAGGUGUGAAAUCCCCGGGCUUAACCUGGGAAUUGCGCUUGAAACUAGCGGGCUUGA
rnacentral:rRNA from 1 species